GCUCUGAAUACCUGUAGUUAGAUAAAGUACAAGUCGUAACAAGGUCACCGUAGGAGAACCUGCUGUGGGAUCAUUA
rnacentral:rRNA from 1 species